ensembl:lncRNA
GUCCAUAUUAAGGGUGGCCAUAUGGGGGGGGGGGGGGUCUUCAUAGACUCCUUGACUGGAGUCUAGAAAGACCCGCAAGGGUAGAAAGACCCCCAAAGAGUUGAAGGAACCCCAAAGGGUUGAAGGACCCCCAAAAGGUAGAAGGACCCCCAAUGGGUAGGAGGACCCCUAAGGGUAGAAAGACCCCAAAAGGGUAGAAGGACCCCCCAAAGGUAGAAAGAACCCCAAGGAUAGAAGGACCCCCAAAGGGUUGAGGGACCCCCAAAGGGUAGAAAGACCCCAAAAGGGUAGAAGGACCCCCAAAGGGUAGAAGGAGCCCGAAAGGGUAGAAGGACCUCCAGUGGUAGAAAGACCCCCCAAAGGUAGAAGGACCCCCAAAGAGUAGAAGGACCCCUAUAGGGUAGAAGGACCCCAAAGGUUUGAAGGAUCCCCAAAGAGUAGAAGGACUCCCCAAGGGUAGAAGGACCCCCAAAGGGUUGAGGGACCCUCAAAGGUUAGAAGGAUCCCCAAGGUUAGAAGGAUCCCCAAGGGUAGAAGGACCCACCAAGGGCAGAAGGACCCCAAAAGGGUAGAAGGACCCCCAAAGGGUAGAAGGACCCCCAAAGGUAGAAGGAACCCCAAGGGUAGAAGGGCCCCUAAAGAGUAGAAGGACCCCCAAAGUGUAGAAGGACCCCCAAAAGGGUAGAAGGACCCCCAAGGUUAGAAGGACUCCCAAAGGGUAGAAGGACCUCCAGGGAAGAAGGACCCCCCAAGGACAGAAGGACCCCUAAGGGUAGAAAGACCCAGAAAGGGUAGAAGGACCCCCCAAAGGUAGAAGGACCCCCAAAGAGUAGAAGGACCCCCAAAGGGUAGAAGGACCCCUAAAGGGUAGAAACACCCUCAAGGGUAGAAGGACCCCCAAAGGGUUGAGGGACCCCCAAUAGUAGAAGGUCCCCCAAGGUCAGAAGGACCCCCAGUGGUAGAAAGACCCCCAAAGGUUAGAAGGAACCCCAAAGGAUAGAGGGACACCCAAAGGAUAGAAGGACCCCCAAUGGUAGAGGGACCCCCAAAGGGUUGAGGGACCCCCAAGGGUAGAAAGACCCCGAAGGUUAGAAGGACUCCCAAAGAUAGAAGGUCCCCCAAAGGUAGAAGGACCCCCUAUAGGGUAGAAGGACCCCCAGUGGUAGAAAGACCCCCCAAAGGUAGAAGGACCCCCAAAGGAUAGAAGGACCCUCAAAGGGUAGAAGGACCCCCAAGGUUAGAAGGACUCCCAAAGGGUAGAAGGACCUCCAGGGAAGAAGGACCCCCCAAGGACAGAAGGACCCCCAAAGGGUAGAAGGACCCCCAAAGGGUAGAGGGACACCCAAAGGAUAGAAGGACCUCCAAAGGGUAGAAAGACCCCUAAAGGGUAGAAACACCCUCAAGGGUAGAAGGACCCCCAAAGGGUUGAGGGACCCCCAAUAGUAGAAGGUCCCCCAAGGUCAGAAGGACCCCCAAAAGGUAGGAGAACUCCCCAAGGGUAGAAAGACCCCCAGUGGUAGAAAGACCCCCAAAGGGUAGAAGGAACCCCAAAGGAUAGAGGGACACCCAAAGGAUAGAAGGACCCCCAAUGGUAGAGGGACCCCCAAAGGGUAGAAGGAGCCCGAAAGGGUAGAAGGACCCCCAAAGGAUAGAGGGACACCCAAAGGAUAGAAGGACCCCCAAUGGUAGAGGGACCCCCAAAGGGUUGAGGGACCCCCAAGGGUAGAAAGACCCCGAAGGUUAGAAGGACCCCCAAAGGGUAGAAGGACCCCCAAGGUUAGAAGGACCCCCAAUGGUAGAGGGACCCCCAAAGUGUUGAGGGACCCCCAAGGGUAGAAGGACCCCUAAGGGUAGAAGGACCCCCAAAAGGGCAGAAGGACCCCCAAAGGGCAGAAGGACCCCCAAAGGUAGAGGGACCCCCAAGGUUAGAAGGACCCCCAAAAGAUAGAAGGACCCCCAGUAGUAGAAGGACCCCAAAAGGGUAGAAGGAUUUUGGGGUUAAAUGGGGGAUUUUCGAGGAGAAAAUGUAUGAUUUUGGGUUAAAUGGGGGAUUUUUGAAGGGAAAAUGGGUGAUUUUGGGGUUAAAUGGGGG